rnacentral:rRNA from 1 species
UACAGAGGGUGCGAGCGUUAAUCGGAGUUACUGGGCGUAAAGGGCGCGUAGGCGGUUGUUUAAGUGAGAUGUGAAAUCCCUGGGCUUAACCUAGGAACUGCAUCUCAUACUGGGCAGCUAGAGUAUUGUAGAGGGUAGUGGAAUUUCCGGUGUAGCGGUGAAAUGCGUAGAGAUCGGAAGGAACACCAGUGGCGAAGGCGGCUACCUGGACAAAUACUGACGCUGAGGCGCGGAAGCGUGGGGAGCAAACAGG